CCUUACCGCCCGUAUCAAACCAAAUUUGUCAAAAGUUAUGCCCUUAGUGGCAACGCAGAAACCAGCUGUUCUCUUUUCUUUACAUUUGGCAUUUUUUACAAUUUUAUUAAACAUGCUGUCGACUUGAUUACUAAAAUGGAAGAAGACGAUAUUGAUGAAAUGUUUUUAAGUUUGUGCGAAUUAACUCAUUUUAUAAAAAGUAUGAAAACAAAAAAAAGCAGAGAAGGUUUAAAAUUCGCCCAAUCAGUAAAGACAUUGCCACCGGUGGUUAUCAGUUAAAAACUAGAUCAAGGACAGCGAACCAGAACCAUUAGUUUGCACACAAGGAUGCCGCUAGACGUAUUAAACUUGCUUCUGGCCUUAGUAAGGAAAUCAUUGCCGACAGAAGCCAAAACAUCAGAUUGGUCCCGAAGAAAGGCUUUCGUUGUUGUUACUUUGUUAGAGAUUUAUCACAAGGCGUAUCGGUGCAGAGUAUUGCAUGGAGUUAUAAAUUAGGACAUGUGAGAUAAUCUGGCGGUUGCUUUCCCCAGUUAGUAAGUGAGCCAACAGAGUCUUAAUACAAGGACCUCGCUAAAGAUUUUUUUAAAUAUGUGGAACAUUCUGAAUUGUGUCGGUGCAAUUAAUGGAAAGCACGUUGCUAUUAAGUGCCCGGCUAAUUCCCAUUCGAUGUUCUACAAUCAUAAAAAGUUCUAUAGCAUCGUUUUGAUGGGAACAUCUAAUGCGAAAUAUACGUUCACAUCAGUUAGUAUUGGCAGUUAUGGAAGUCAAAGUGAUGGAGUUACUCCAUUUGGUCAUGCGUUAAUGGAAAACUAUCUGCCUUUGCCACCUCCUGUGCCAUUGUCUGACGUGUCACCAGAACCUUUUCGACACUUUUUCGUUGGAGAUGCUGCAUUCCUGUUAAGAAGUGAUUUAAUGUGCCCUUAUUAAAUGAUCUAACAAACACUAAGCGCAUUUUUAACUAUCGGCUGUCACGCGCUCGUAGAGUUAUAGAUGCGUUUGGAAUAUUGACUGUUCGAUGGAAAAUUUUGAAAACAACAAUUUUGUAAUCCAGAAAAUUCUAAAAAAAUAGUGUUGGUUUGCAUAACUUUGUAUAAUUUUAUAAUGUUAAACGAUCACAAUCGUCGGUACUGUCCGGAAAACUAUGUAGAUCGAGUAGAAGGAGAUAGAAUCGCUCAUGUCGGUGAAUGACGUAGAGAGGAUGAAAAUUACGACUCUUUCCGUAUGCGUUUAACUUACGAGACAGCCUCGCUACCAAUUUUAUCAAAGUAGGAUCUUUACCAUACCAGAACAACAUAGACAUUGUCAUGGGCGGACCAUAUGUAUAAUAUUAAAAAAUUACUAAAAAUUUAAUGAAUUCUUGAAUUUAUAAAUAUAAUUUUUUUUUUUUUAAUUUAAAACAUAAAUAUCACAUAUGUUUAUAUAGUGUCUAUUAAAUAAAAAAUAAUAAUCAAGACGUAAAUAAUUAAAUUAACUUAAUCUCUAUUAACAAAUAUUAAAAAUUAAAUCAAGUAACUUGAAA